AGGACGGGCGGAAUGCGGGCCCGGGAGGAGCCGCCGCCGCUUUGCACGUGUAAAUCCGGCCGUAGGCCGCGGGAGCCUCAUCCUGUGCUCGUUGUGGGUCUUCCAGAGGCAAAGCGGGCUGAGGAGCCCAAAGAGCCGCUCAGUGCUGCGCAGCACUACACUUGGUGAUAAAUAAAUAUCACGGCAGUAAACCAAAUAAAUGUCACGGCAGUAAACUACAGCAUCGUACGUACAUGUAUGCAGCGCAUGGAGGGCGCUCCGUGCCAUGAGGGGAAAAGGAGCAAAUGGCGGCGUGCCGCUGCUGCGCUGGAUGGGACGGCUGGGAAAAGUGCCCUGAACAGAGCAAACGCGGCCCGGCGGCUCUGUGCUCUGUGCUGCUGCUGACGGACACGAGCACUCGGCUCCUCGGGUUGGCGCUGUUACUUCUGUAAGGGUGCGGAUGCUAAACUGGGCCUAAGUGAACCUGGCGAAGAAUUAUAACAAUUUUUUUGCUAUUCCAGUUGAAAACGAGGAGCUUUGCUGACUUAAAUCCACAAUGCUGUUGGCAAAGUGCUUAAUCUCUGCUAGCCCUGAGGUUAGCACCUUCCUCAAUGGGAUGUGCGAGAGGCGAGGUUUCCGUGUGUCUGCUUUUCCCCCAAAGGCACACCAAGACCUGUUCAAGUUGGUUUAGUUCAUGUUAGUGAGUUCACACGGGUAUCAAACCCAGCAUGCCCCGAUGCAGGACACUUCUCAAAGAAAUACAGCCAAAAGUAGGUGGAUUUUUACUUUUUUACCUUUCCCCUCCCCCCCCAAACUUCUCCCAACCUAAAAUGAACAACACUACUCUGGUUGAAAUUGAGGUCACUCGUAUGUCAUACAAAGAUUAAUCAAAGAACUUUCCGAAUGUGGCAAUAUUCUCACCGCACUAUUCUGGAAGAUGAAAUAUCUUUAUUGGUAAAUUUGAAUCUUGCAUCACAGCAACUUGAAAUGGAAUUCUUUUAAUGAAAAGAAGACCACAACAUAUAAGGCCAAACUUUUAGAAUUUCUCUGUCUGUGACCUUCAAUUAGUCAUACAGGGAGAUGAUGUGCCCUUAUACUAGUUUCCUGACGGUUAAAAAAUGCCUCUGUGAAUCUGCUGUGCAAACUGAGACCUGGGGUUUGCCUUAGUCUGCUUCUGUACAGGUUUGAGGCGUUAGGUUUUGGCCCUCCCACUGGUUGAUACAGGAGUGUAUCAACCAGUGUUGUAGUGGCUGUUGCACAAUGAGCAUUUUUAGUUGAUCUUUUUAGGUGUGAUUUUUGCAGAAUGAUGGGUCUGAACAAGAUGUCUGUGCACACAUGCAAAAUAUUACACUUUAUUGCAAGAGCUUCACAUUUCUUUCUAAGUUGCUGCACAUUAAUGUGUACUAUGUAACCAAACCUGAUUCCACAAACACUCCCAGGGCGAAGCACAAGAGCAGCAACUUCAGUGGGACUUGCAUGUGUGUUUCAGUAUCGAUUAUUUUCCACUGGCAGCAAGGCAGAAAGAACAAAGCUGAAUUUCAGUGAAGUCUGCUCGUCCAGGUGAAGCAUGCUGACCUCCUUAAAGCCACGGGGUGGUUUUAAGGACUUCCACUGGAGCCAGGACUCUGGGUGACUAUAAACAUGGUUGAACAGAGAACACAGAAGCCGUGUGGUUUUUAUCCACUCAGAUAUGAUACCACCAUGGAAAACAUAAGAAGAUUAGCCACAAUGAUUUAUGCUCAUGGCACUGAAGAUGUUUGAUAUGAGGCAAGGGCCAACUUGUAAAAAUAAAUCUUAUAUUUUCUCCCCGAGUUUGUGUUGUGCUGGGGACAUUUGCUGCUUUUCUGGAGAAUCUUCAGUACUUGGUAUAUUAUGUAUGGUGUAAAAAAUUUGACAGCAAACACACAGGAAAGGCUGACAGACCUGUGUUUACUGUAUUGCACUGUAUGUUACUACACAGUCUGCAAUAUUAAACUCAACUCCAAACUAGACUUUGGAACCAGGCAGCAAGCCCAAAAUUGUGAUAAUCUCCUCCGUAACAGCAGAAAAAAAUAAAAUAACAUUGCUGAAAGUUGAAAUGUUUAGUUUCAG